AUUGAACGCUGGCGGCAGGCUUAAUACAUGCAAGUCGAACGAGUGGCGGACGGGUGCGUAAUGCUUGGGCAUCUGGCUUAUGGAGGGGGAUGACUACGGGAAACUGUAGCUAAUACCGCUUACCAUAGGUUGAGCCCACGUGGGAUUAGGUAGUUGGGGCGGUAAAGGCUCACCAAGCCGACGAUCUCUAGCUGGUCUGAGAGGAUGACCAGCCACACUGGGACUGAGACACGGCCCAGACUCCUACGGGAGGCAGCAGUGGGGAAUAUUGCGCAAUGGAGGAAACACUGACGAAGCCAUGCCGCGUGAAUGAAGAAGGCCUUCGGGUUGUAAAGCACUUUCAGCGGGGAGGCGUUACCCGCAGAAGAAGCACCGGCUAACUACGUGCCAGCCGCCGCGGUAAUAC
rnacentral:rRNA from 1 species